rnacentral:rRNA from 1 species
AGAGUUUGAUCAUGGCUCAGGACGAACGCUGACGGUGUGCUUUAGACAUGCAAGUCGAACGAGAAAGCCCUUCGGGGUGAGUACAGUGGCGAACGGGUGAGUAACACGUGGGUAACCUGCCCCUCGCAGGGGGACAACCGGGGGAAACCCCGGCUAAUACCCCGUACGCUCCGAGGGUCGCAUGGCCUUCGGAGGAAAGGUAGCUUCGGCCAUCCGGCGAGGGAUGGGCCCGCGGUCCAUUAGCUAGUUGGUGGGGUAACGGCCCACCAAGGCGACGAUGGAUAGCUGGUCUGAGAGGACGAUCAGCCACACUGGGACUGAGACACGGCCCAGACUCCUACGGGAGGCAGCAGUCGGGAAUCUUGCGCAAUGGGCGAAAGCCUGACGCAGCAACACCGUGUGGGUGACGAAGGCCUUCGGGUCGUAAAGCCCUGUUGUUGGGGACGAAGGGCAAAGGGUUAAUAGCCCCUAGCUUGACGGUACCCUUCGAGGAAGCCCCGGCUAACUACGUGCCAGCAGCCGCGGUAAUACGUAGGGGGCGAGCGUUGUCCGGAAUUAUUGGGCGUAAAGAGCGUGUAGGCGGUUCGGUAAGUCUGCCGUGAAAACCUGGGGCUCAACCCCGGGCGUGCGGUGGAUACUGCCGGGCUAGAGGGUGGUAGAGGCGAGUGGAAUUCCCGGUGUAGCGGUGAAAUGCGCAGAUAUCGGGAGGAACACCAGUAGCGAAGGCGGCUCGCUGGGCCAUUCCUGACGCUGAGACGCGAAAGCUAGGGGAGCGAACAGGAUUAGAUACCCUAGUAGUCC